AACGUAGGAGGCGAGCGUUAUCCGGAUUUACUGGGCGUAAAGCGUGCGCAGGCGGCUUCGUGAGUCGGAUGUGAAAGCUCCUGGCUUAACUGGGAGAGGCCAUUCGAUACUGCGAGGCUUGAGGUUGGGAGAGGGGUGCGGAAUUCCCGGUGUAGUGGUGGAAUGCGUAGAGAUCGGGAGGAACACCUGUGGCGAAGGCGACUACCUGGCCUGUUCUUGACGCUGAGGCGCGAAAGCUAGGGGAGCAAACGGG
rnacentral:rRNA from 1 species